rnacentral:rRNA from 1 species
UUCAUCCUACGGGGGGCAGCAGUGGGGAAUAUUGGGCAAUGGGCGCAAGCCUGACCCAGCAACGCCGCGUGAAGGAAGAAGGCUUUCGGGUUGUAAACUUCUUUUCUCAGGGACGAAGCAAGUGACGGUACCUGAGGAAUAAGCCACGGCUAACUACGUGCCAGCAGCCGCGGUAAUACGUAGGUGGCAAGCGUUAUCCGGAUUUACUGGGUGUAAAGGGCGUGUAGGCGGCGACGCAAGUCAGAUGUGAAAACC